UUAAGUCAGGCAACAAGCGAGACCCAUGCCCACUGUUGCUAACGCGAGCCGCGAGGCUUGGCGAGUACACGGUGGGGACCGCUGGCGCUAAGUCAGAGGAAGGGGUGGUCGACGGUAGGUCAGUAUGCCCCGAAUCAUCCGGGCUACACGCGGGCUACAAUGGUUGGGACAAUGGGUUCCAACACUGAAAAGUGAAGGUAAUCUCCUAAACCUAGUCGUAGUUCGGAUCGAGGGCUGUAACCCGCCCUCGUGAAGCUGGAAUGCGUAGUAAUCGCGUGUCAUAAUCGCGCGGUGAAUACGUCCCUGCUCCUUGCACA
rnacentral:rRNA from 1 species